CCCGAAUGUGGCUCUGAAAAACAGCCGCUAUGAUGCCAGAGUACAGCAAAUGUGAGCUGGUAAACUCUGAAGCACUUGCUCUGAUUUGCAACCCCAAUGUGAAAAAUGUCCCCUGGCUUGGCUUCUCCAUGUUGAAGGCCACAGAAAUCCAUCCCAAUAUGACUCCACAGCGAGACCUUGGUGCUGUGUCCUGUGAAUCCUGCCCGGAAUUGCUGUUUUAUUGAGGCAAUAUUCUCUCUAAAUAAUAAUCAGACUUUUAUUGGGUCGUUCAUGCUCGGAGCUGGGGGAGUUUCUUGCUCCAUUGCUUUAUUGUGCCCCAGUUGCUCUUUUCAACUCUGUUCUCUAGUCUGAGGAAAAUCCGUGUGAGCCUGUAUUCAUCAUUAUUUACCAUAUUAUCAGCUGAAGCAACAUGACAUUUUCCCCGCACCUCUCUCUUUUGUGUUUUGAUCAUAAUAAUUUAGGGAUUUCAAAAAUUCUCUAUCAAAAGUUGCUGUUCCCUGAAGACACAAUCCCAAAUGGCAUA